rnacentral:rRNA from 1 species
AACGAACGCUGGCGGCAUGCCUAACACAUGCAAGUCGAACGAUGCUUUCGGGCAUAGUGGCGCACGGGUGCGUAACGCGUGGGAAUCUGCCCUUGGGUUCGGAAUAACAGUGAGAAAUUGCUGCUAAUACCGGAUGAUGUCUUCGGACCAAAGAUUUAUCGCCCAGGGAUGAGCCCGCGUAGGAUUAGCUAGUUGGUGGGGUAAUGGCCUACCAAGGCGACGAUCCUUAGCUGGUCUGAGAGGAUGAUCAGCCACACUGGGACUGAGACACGGCCCAGACUCCUACGGGAGGCAGCAGUGGGGAAUAUUGGACAAUGGGCGCAAGCCUGAUCCAGCAAUGCCGCGUGAGUGAUGAAGGCCUUAGGGUUGUAAAGCCCUUUUACCCGGGAUGAUAAUGACAGUACCGGGAGAAUAAGCUCCGGCUAACUCCGUG